rnacentral:rRNA from 1 species
UAGCAUUGCAUACGCGAGGAAGCAGUACCGUAAGGAGCUGUGGAGUGUAUGGAAGAGAGAAUGCCGGAAUGAGUAGCGAGAUGGAGGUGGGAAUCCUCCAGGCCGAAUAUCCAAGGUUUCCAGAGUAAAGCUGAUCUGCUCUGGGUAAGUCGGGACCUAAGGCGAGGCCGAGAGGCGUAGCCGAUGGACAACAGGUUGAGAUUCCUGUACUGCUGUAUAUCAGAACUGUGGGGACACAGAGGGAAAGCACAGGCGCGGAACGGAAAGCCGCGUGCAAGCGAGGUACCGGACUGGUAGGAAAAUCCGCCAGCCAACGGGAAGACGUGAUGCGGACCGAAAUUUAGUAGGGAAGUGUGUGAGCCAGCUGUCAAGAAAAGCCGCUAUUGUGUAUACAGUACCCGUACCGUAAACCGACACAGGUGGAUGAGGAGAGAAUCCUAAGGCCGGCGGAAGAAGUAUUGUCAAGGAACUCGGCAAAAUGACCCUGUAACUUCGGGAGAAAGGGUGCCUCGAAAGAGGCCGCAGAGAAUUGGCCCAAGCAACUGUUUAGCAAAAACACAGGUCUAUGCGAAACCGAAAGGUGAGGUAUAUGGGCUGACGCCUGCCCGGUGCUGGAAGGUUAAGGGGAGAUGUUAGAGCAAUCGAAGCAUCGAACUUAAGCCCCAGUAAACGGCGGCCGUAACAAUAACGGUCCUAAGGUAGCGAAGUUCCUUGUCGGGUAAGUUCCGACCCGCACGAAAGGCGUAAUGAUUUGGGCGCUGUCUCGACAAUACAUCCGGUGAAAUUGAAGUACCAGUGAAGAUGCUGGUUACCCGCGCCAGGACGGAAAGACCCCAUGGAGCUUUACUCCAGCUUGAUACUGGGAUUCGGUAUUGCAUGUACAGGAUAGGUGGGAGGCUGAGAAGCAUGGACGCAGUCUAUGUGGAGCCGCUGUUGGGAUACCACCCUUGCGGUAUUGGAUUUCUAACCAGCCGCCGUGAAACCGGCGGUGGGACAAUGUCAGGCGGGGAGUUUGACUGGGGCGGUCGCCUCCGAAAGGGUAUCGGAGGCGCCCAAAGGUUCCCUCAGAAUGGUUGGAAACCAUUCGAAGAGUGCAAAGGCAGAAGGGAGCUUGACUGUGACACCGACGGGUGGAGCAGGUACGAAAGUAGGGCUUAGUGAUCCGGUGGUAUUAAGUGGGAAUGCCAUCGCUCAACGGAUAAAAGCUACCCUGGGAUAACAGGCUUAUCACUCCCAAGAGUUCACAUCGACGGAGUGGUUUGGCACCUCGAUGUCGGCUCAUCGCAUCCUGGGGCUGUAGUAGGUCCCAAGGGUUGGGCUGUUCGCCCAUUAAAGCGGUACGCGAGCUGGGUUCAGAACGUCGUGAGACAGUUCGGUCCCUAUCCGGCGUGGGCGCAGGAUAUUUGAGAGGAGCUGUCCUUAGUACGAGAGGACCGGGAUGGACUGACCUCCGGUGCACCGGUUGUUCCGCCAGGAGCAUAGCCGGGUAGCCAAGUCGGGAAGGGAUAAACGCUGAAGGCAUCUAAGCGUGAAGCCCCCCUCAAGAUGAGAUAUCCCAUGCGAAAGCGAUAAGACCCCUUGAAGACGACGAGGUAGAUAGGUCAGAGGUGGAAGUGCAGUAAUGCAUGGAGCCGACUGAUACUAAUAGGUCGAAGGCUUAACC